rnacentral:rRNA from 1 species
GGGAAGCUAGCCGCUUAGUACAUGCAGUCGAGCGAACAGAUAAGGAGCUUGCUCCUUUGACGUUAGCGGCGGACGGGUGAGUAACACGUGGGUAACCUACCUAUAAGACUGGGAUAACUUCGGGAAACCGGAGCUAAUACCGGAUAAUAUUUUGAACCGCAUGGUUCAAUAGUGAAAGGUGGCUUUGCUGUCACUUAUAGAUGGAUCCGCGCCGUAUUAGCUAGUUGGUAAGGUAACGGCUUACCAAGGCAACGAUACGUAGCCGACCUGAGAGGGUGAUCGGCCACACUGGAACUGAGACACGGUCCAGACUCCUACGGGAGGCAGCAGUAGGGAAUCUUCCGCAAUGGGCGAAAGCCUGACGGAGCAACGCCGCGUGAGUGAUGAAGGUCUUCGGAUCGUAAAACUCUGUUAUUAGGGAAGAACAAACGUGUAAGUAACUGUGCACGUCUUGACGGUACCUGAUCAGAAAGCCACGGCUAACUACGUGCCAGCAGCCGCGGUAAUACGUAGGUGGCAAGCGUUAUCCGGAAUUAUUGGGCGUAAAGCGCGCGUAGGCGGUUUUUUAAGUCUGAUGUGAAAGCCCACGGCUCAACCGUGGAGGGUCAUUGGAAACUGGAAAACUUGAGUGCAGAAGAGGAAAGUGGAAUUCCAUGUGUAGCGGUGAAAUGCGCAGAGAUAUGGAGGAACACCAGUGGCGAAGGCGACUUUCUGGUCUGUAACUGACGCUGAUGUGCGAAAGCGUGGGGAUCAAACAGGAUUAGAUACCCUGGUAGUCCACGCCGUAAACGAUGAGUGCUAAGUGUUAGGGGGUUUCCGCCCCUUAGUGCUGCAGCUAACGCAUUAAGCACUCCGCCUGGGGAGUACGACCGCAAGGUUGAAACUCAAAGGAAUUGACGGGGACCCGCACAAGCGGUGGAGCAUGUGGUUUAAUUCGAAGCAACGCGAAGAACCUUACCAAAUCUUGACAUCCUUUGACCACUCUAGAGAUAGAGUUUUCCCCUUCGGGGGACAAAGUGACAGGUGGUGCAUGGUUGUCGUCAGCUCCUGUCCUGAGAUGUUGGGUUAAGUCCCGCAACGAGCGCAACCCUUAAGCUUAGUUGCCAUCAUUAAGUUGGGCACUCUAAGUUGACUGCCGGUGACAAACCGGAGGAAGGGGGGGAUGACGUCAAAUCAUCAUGCCCCUUAUGAUUUGGGCUACCCCCGGGCUACAAUGGGACAAUACAAAGGGCA